GGAUUUUUUGUGUAUUAUUAUGACUCUUGUUUCGGGUGCAAGAGGUCGUGAGUUCAAUUUUCACAACAUCCC
rfam:Ipomoea nil DNA, scaffold: scaffold2283, cultivar: Tokyo-kokei standard.